AAAAAAUAUCCCCACAGGGAGUUACUGCUGUGGCAAAGUGGGUUAUGGAUCUCCUGUUGUCUCUGUGGCAAUGUGGAUUUGAUGCCUGGCCUGGAACAGAGGGUUAAGGAUCUUGAGUUGCCACAGCUGUGGUGGAGAUUGAAGCUGAGGCUCGGAUUUGAUCCUUUGCCCCUGGGAACUUUUGUAUCCUGUGGGUGCAGCCAAAAAAACAGAAACAAAAGCAAAGUCCCUCUGAGCACUGCUUUAGUUCUGUCCCACAAAUUUUGAUGUCAUACUUUCAUUUUCAUUCAGUCCAAUCUAUUUUCCAUUUUUCUUGAGAUUUCCUCUUUGAUGCAUCAGUUAUUUAGUUUUGUUUAAUUUACAUGCCUUAAGAGAUUUUCCUAUUGUACCUCUUUUUUAAUUGAUCUCUUAUUUGAUUCUGUUAUGUUUAGAAACAUACUCUGAGUGAUAUCAGUUCCUUAAAAUUUCCUGAGGUUUGUUUUCUAGCCCAUGAUGUAGCCUAUCUUGGUGAAUAUUCCAUGGGUACUUGGGAAAAAAAGGAGGUAUUCUGUUGAUAGUGCUAGAAUGUUCUGUAUAGGUCAAUUAGAACCUCUUAGUUGAUUGUGUUGUGUAGGUCUUUUAAAUCCUUGCUCCUUCUGUUUCUAGUAGUUCUGUCUCAUGCUGAGAAGAGGGUAUUGAGGUACUCAUCUUUAACUAUAAAUUUGUCAUUUUGUCACCCCCCUUUUUGUCUCUAAGUAAUUUUCUUUUCUCUGAAGCCUAAUUUAUCACUAACUAACAUAGCCAUUCCAGCUUAACAUUUUUUUUUAAUGUUUCCAUGGAAUAUCAUUUAGCAUUCUUUUAUUUUCAAACUGCCUAUGUUGAAUUUAAAAUGAGUUUCUUAUAAAUAGCAUAUAGUUGGGUCAUUUCUUAACUCAUUCUUGAGGGACAUGUGAGGGGGUAGCGGAGGGCCUGGCCACUUUUUUGUUAUCAGGGCUCUUGAUCACCCCAGUGGUGUUGGGCUUGCUUGAUGUUGUCAGAGGGACCCCAGUUUAAUCAUGGGGAGGAAAGAGACUCCUCCCUAGGUUGGGGGUUGGAAACAUAGGUCUGGGUUGCCUUCUUCUCUUGGGUGAAUGUCCUGCUGCUGUGUUGUUCCUCCUGUCAGGAUCCCACAUAAGUUCUCUUUCUUCUUACCACUUUUCAGAGUUUUCCUUGGGUUGCCUUUUAUGUUAUUUCCAGGGUUCAUAGUGGGCUCAUUGGGCAGAAGCAGGGAGAAAUGGGUCAAUACCAUAUUGUCUAGACUGAAAAAUAUUGUCUAUUUUGCACAUCAAUUACUAAAUUAUAAAUUCCCUGAAGGCAAGAUCUGCCUUAUACUUCUCAGUGUCUUUCACCAUCCAUAGUAGAUUUCUUAAUCAUAGCUUUUCAAUACAUAUUUGCAGUUUUAAGUGGGAAUGUUUGCAAUUGUGAACUUUUGGUUAUUUCUAGAUGCAAUCACUAUGGGUUUAAAUGUCCAUUUGUAAUUGUUUUUUUGACUGAAUAACAACUUUCUUUUUGAUUAUUAAAUGAAUGCUUCUGUCUCAUUUUGGCAAAACUUAAAGCAUUUUCAUGAUCAUUGGAACAUUGAUCGUCCUACAUUUCUUUCAGGAUUUCUAUUUGUUGGAUAUAGUGACUUCAGUUGGAAGAUUUUUCAGAUUAUUUGUAAUACCUGUAAGCAAAAAUUGUAAUGUUAAAUUGGAAACAUAACUGGAAAAAGGAUCCUGUUAAAUUAACUGCAUUCUUAAAUAGUCGAAAUACUUAUUUCAAAAUCAGCUAUUGGAAGACAGAGGAAAAAUCUAGAGAUUUUGAAAGUUAGACAUAAGAACUUGGUUUUUCAAAACACUGUUUUCAACUAAAAGUAGAUUAGCAUGUGGCGUGGGUUUAACUUCAUUGAAUGCACUUGACUUGAUCUCUGUUGGAGUUGAGUGAGAUACACUGGUUUGCUUUUCUGGCCUUGCCUCACAAAUUAUAACUUGUCACAUAUAAUUACCUUUUCCAUAACAAUUUCAAUAGUUCAUUUGCCUGUCACAUUUCAAUGAACUCUAAACCUUUCUUAAUGUAUUUUUUUAAGUAGGCCAAAGUGCUCCUCCCCCACUCCACCCUGGUAGCUAGUAUAUAAUAAAAUAUGUACUUAUUAUGAUUAGUGCCUCUACUUUUUAGUUACCACAUUUCUUUCAGUAAUACAUUUCCUUUAAAUGAUUUAAGUUUUGUAUCUGCUGAAGUCAUUUUGAAGGUGGCUCUGUUCUAAGCUGAGUAGGAUGAAAAGUCCUUUAGAAAAAAGAGAUGAGGGGUGAGGUUUUUCCUUAAUAAGAAUCCCAGUUACUGAGCUGACCGGAAUGCUCAGAUGAAUGGAUAUGGAAAGAGAAAAUGUAUGAAAUCAUUCAGAACUCAAAUGGAAGUUAAUAUGAAAUAUCUGAAGUGGACGUUUCAUAUUAAGUGUUUUUCUCCUUUUUUCUGCAGCUUUCAUCAUCUCAGCUGUGCAACCUGGCACUCAAUUGUAUUUUGGUUUCUAGUGUUUAUUUCCUCUGGUUACCUGUUAUUUUACUUGACAUUAUAUAUCAGCUGCUUGUAAAUCAGAAUUAAGUCUCAUAAUUUAUCUGCUUUCUCAUCUAUCCCUUCAACUCUUCCUUUUAAAAAAGUUUAUUGAAGUAUAGUUGAUUUACAAUAUUGUGUUAAUUUCUGCUCUAUAGCGAAAUGAUCCAGUUAUACAUACAUUCUUUUUCAUGUUCUUUUCCAUUAUGGUUUAACACAGGAUAUUGAGUGAGUUCCCUGUGCUCUACAGUAGAACCUUGUUGUUAAUCUGUUCUAUAUAUAAUGGUGUCCAUCUGCCAAUCGCAUCCCUUCCUCACCUCCCACCCCCUUGACAACUGCAAGUCUGUUCUCUGAGGCUGUUUCUGUUUUAUAGAUAAGUUCAUUUUUAUAAUAUUUUAGAUUCCACAUAUAAGUGAUAUCAUAUGGUAUUUGUCUUUUUCUUUCUGACCUUCAACUCUUCCUUUUGAGAAGAUCUUACAUUCCACAUUUUCUGGCCAGUUGUAAUUUUAAAUAUUUUACCAUGUUGUUCCACACACCAUCAACAUGUCUCAAGAUUCUAACACUACAGUAUGCAAACCAGGUCCAACAAGCUGGAUCUCAUGAUUGAAGUAAUACUGAAAUUCUUUGGUGAUGUGAACUGUUUUAAUAUAUACAGAAUAGUGUUUUCUACUCUAAUUAUGGAGCUAAUAAUAGAUAAUCAUACUGAUUUGAAGUCAACGGCCAGAUAUAUUUUAGACAUUUUUUGUUUGUUUGUUUUUUUAGAGCUAUACACAUGGAACAUGGAAGUUCCCAAGCUAGGGUUCCAAUUGGAGCUGCAGCUGCUGGCCUACACCACAGCCACGGCAAUGCCGUGGGAUCUGAGCUGUGUCUGUGACCUACACCACAGCUCACAGUGGACCUUUAACCCACUGAACAAGGUCGGAGAUCAAACCCACGUUCUCACGGAUACUAGUCGGAUUUGUUACCACUGAACCAUGACAGGAACUCUUAGAUCAACUUUCGAUUCAGAAAAUACAUCAUAUUCAUAAAAGGAGAUAAUUUUACCCAUAGUAUAUUCAAAUUUAUAUUAUAGUUGUAUAUCUUAAAAAUGAGGUUUUUAAUAUCUGUUGACUUUAAAUGUGGAGGAUGCAUGUUUUUAAAAAGAGAAUAUGAUAAAUUCUUUUUUGUUGGUGUGUCUUUGGAGCAAUUUCUUAUGUAAAUGGAAAUACGUUUUAAUGUUGUUUUCCCUGGGUGAGUAAGUGACAUUCUCACAUGAAACAAUAAGCUAUUAGAACAGAAAGGAAUCAUCAGGACUAUCUAGUUCAGUGAUCUAUAUUUUUAAUUUUCAGUUUUAGUAAUGGAACCAUUUUUCAAACAAAGAAGAGGAUCCUAGUGUGGGAACUAUCCUGGACUUUGGAGUACUUGAAGCAGAUACCAUGCUAGCUCUUCUUAAUUAUGUAUGUUACAAAUCCUUUCAUUUGCUUGGGUUUCUAGGUGUAGACUAAAAAAAAAAAAAAAGAUCUCGACAAAUGUAAUAUAUUUACUUAUAAUAAAAUGGACAGUGAAAAAUCAUAAAAUAUCAAGGCUUAUUCUGUCAAAUUUCAUCAGAGUUUGUGAUACUUACUUUAUUUAAUAUUCAACAAGUAUUUUUAGAGUGCCUACCUAUGUCAAGCACCGAAAUUCUAGGCUCUGAAGACAGAAGGGCAAACAAGUAGUUCCUAUCCUCAAGGAAUUCUUAGAGUCUAGGAUACUUGGCAUCAGAAACAAAUAUUAAAUUAUCUCCUGGAAUUUUUAAUCAUGAAAUUGUGUAGACAGCCCAUAAAGUGUCCUGAAUCAGAUCCCAUGCAUCUUGAGUCUAGCCAGUCAUGACAGGGUAUACAGUUCACAUAAAGCAGAAAUUUGAGAUAUGGAUCUCGACUGGGAGAGCUAGGCCCACUUUUUGGGAAGGAAGAUGAGAGCCUGUGACAAGUGUAUUAGUUUUCUAUUGCUUUCAUAAUGAAUAAUCACAAACUUAGUGGCUCAAAACCACACAAAUAUAUUAUUUUACACUUGUAUAACAAACAGUCUAAACACAGAUCUCUGACCUGUAGUCACAUCUCUCUCUGACUCUCCUCUUCUGCCUUCCUCUUCUGCUUUUAAAAAUCCUUGUGAUUACACUGAUCUCAUCUAAAUAAUCCAAGAUAACCCUGCCCCCUUUUUAAUACUCUUAAUAUUAAUCAUACCUGCAAAGUUUCUUUUUCCAUGCAACAUAAUAUAUUUACAGGUUCCAAUGUUAAUGGCGUGGAUGCGUUUGGGGGGGGCAUUAUUCUGGCUACCACAGAAGUUUACAUAAUCUUAAAGAUACAGGGCCCUGAUAUGGCUGUGAUUCACUAAGAGAAAUUCAGCACCAUGUAGCCUUUCCAUUUAGCCAUUCUAGCUAUAGAGACUGCUAGUCUUAUCACAACAUGGAGUAAAAUGUUAAGUUGGCUGGUGAUACAAUCAUUUCUAUUGUGGGCUCAGUGUUUUUAACCUUGACACCACCACCCCCAUUCAUAUGUUGAAUUCUCGGUCCCCAGUGUAACUAUAUUUGGAUAUCUCCUGUCUGGAGGUAAUUAAUUAAACUAUUUCAUAAGGGUGAGAUGCUGAUCAAUAAGAUUGGCAUCCUUGUAAGAAGAGACAU
rnacentral:lncRNA from 1 species